rnacentral:lncRNA from 1 species
UGGUUACCUUGGUUUUGCCCUGUGUCAUGGAGAUCCUGCAGCUUUGGCUCAGCUGGAUGAACCAUUUCACAUUCACCAACCAUUUACAGGUUACGUAGAUUUUGGGGGCCAGCACAUGCCCAUGCUUCCAGAGCCAACUUCACUGUGCUGCAGCCACUGCAGACCUGGGCCAGCUCUCUCACUCUCACAACCUGGGGCUGAUUCACCUGUGCCUGCCUUCGACAUCAAGACCAGCACUUGCCAUACUGGGGUCACUAAGGAUGAGAGAGAAGCCUAACCAAAGUGUAUGUAUUGAUGGGACUGGGAAAACACCAGAUUGAUGAAGACAGGAAAUAUGAGAAGAGAUCCAUAGAAAAUAACUAAAUGACUUCCUGAGUAUAGAGGCCUCAGAAGGGAACAUCUUUUUCUUCCUCUUGUUUAUUUAUCUACGAUGGAGUUUUAAGUGUGGGGAAAUAAAGCAAAUGUAAUGAAGAAACUUUGAAGAUAGAAGAGGGUCAGAAGGAUGACCAAACACGGGUGCAUUCUUGUGAAUUAUCCUAGAUCAGUUUUAGUUA